ensembl:lncRNA LINC00467 long intergenic non-protein coding RNA 467
GGGUUUCGCGGCGCUCGCCGCACUGGUUGUUCAGCACCUUCGGUCCGGUUGAGGUUGUCAAGUCGGACCAAACAGGUUGUUUCUCUGCAGUUUCCAUUACGAAAGAUGAGUAUUUAGUACUCCAUUUGUGCUGUUUUCCUUUUGUGGUAUCAUUCAGCCUUGUGGCUUCAAACAUUGUACUGAAGAUUCUCAGACUUAUUACUACAUGGCAGGGAGGUUUAAUAGACAUGGAUAAGAAGUCCACUCACAGAAAUCCUGAAGAUGCCAGGGCUGGCAAAUAUGAAGGUAAACACAAACGAAAGAAAAGAAGAAAGCAAAACCAAAACCAGCACCGAUCCCGACAUAGAUCAGUGACGUCUUUUUCUUCAGAUGAUCCUAUGUUUCCUUCUUCCUCAUCAUCGUCUUCAGGAAGCCAGACAGAUUCAAGUAUUGAAGAUGCUGCCAAGGGAAAAAUUAAGAAGAAGAGAAGAGAGAAAACAAAUAAAUGGGAAAAAAGAAAGGACAAAAUAUGAAACACCAAGAAAAAGAGAAGGAAAAAAAGGAGGAAACAACCACAUAUGUCACCUUUCCAAGGAAUAUAAUUCAAUAUCAGAAUGAUUUGGAAGGAAAAAACCUACAGGAAGCUAUUGUAGCCUAGUGAGGAAGAUAAAUAUUAAUACAGCCAAUUUAUAGAUCAGACUAAAGACAAUGAUUGGGGCAUUGAAAAGAACAGAUAGAAGAAAUAUUGCAAAGAGGGACUGAAACUGGGCUGACCCUUUUGAUUUCCAAGCUCAGCGUUUUGGUGUAAGGCGGCCAAAGAAGGAUGCGGAGCCCAGCACUGUGAAGCCUACAAAAACAUUGAUGCGCUGGCUUGGGGAUUUGAAUUUGAACAUCUUUCACACUAAGUUCAGACUCAUGAAACCAAUCUUCAGAUGCUCUGUAAACCACAUAAUAAAGAGUUUGGAAAUU